rnacentral:rRNA from 1 species
UGGGGAAUAUUGCACAAUGGGCGCAAGCCUGAUGCAGCCAUGCCGCGUGUAUGAAGAAGGCCUUCGGGUUGUAAAGUACUUUCAGCGGGGAGGAAGGGAGUAAAGUUAAUACCUUUGCUCAUUGACGUUACCCGCAGAAGAAGCACCGGCUAACUCCGUGCCAGCAGCCGCGGUAAUACGGAGGGUGCAAGCGUUAAUCGGAAUUACUGGGCGUAAGCGCACGCAGGCGGUUUGUUAAGUCAGAUGUGAAAUCCCCGGGCUCAACCUGGGAACUGCAUCUGAUACUGGCAAGCUUGAGUCUCGUAGAGGGGGGUAGAAUUCCAGGUGUAGCGGUGAAAUGCGUAGAGAUCUGGAGGAAUACCGGUGGCGAAGGCGGCCCCCUGGACGAAGACUGACGCUCAGGUGCGAAAGCGUGGGGAGCAAACAGG